GAUGAACGCUGGCGGCGUGCCUAAUACAUGCAAGUCGAGCGAACAGACGAGGAGCUUGCUCCUCUGACGUUAGCGGCGGACGGGUGAGUAACACGUGGAUAACCUACCUAUAAGACUGGGAUAACUUCGGGAAACCGGAGCUAAUACCGGAUAAUAUAUUGAACCGCAUGGUUCAAUAGUGAAAGACGGUUUUGCUGUCACUUAUAGAUGGAUCCGCGCCGCAUUAGCUAGUUGGUAAGGUAACGGCUUACCAAGGCAACGAUGCGUAGCCGACCUGAGAGGGUGAUCGGCAACACUGGAACUGAGACACGGUCCAGACUCCUACGGGAGGAAGCAGAAGGGAACCUUGCGCAAUGGGCGAAAGCCUGACGGAGCAACGCCGCGUGAGUGAUGAAGGUCUUCGGAUCGUAAAACUCUGUUAUUAGGGAAGAACAAAUGUGUAAGUAACUAUGCACGUCUUGACGGUACCUAAUCAGAAAGCCACGGCUAACUACGUG
rnacentral:rRNA from 1 species